ACGCUGGCGGUAUGCUUAACACAUGCAAGUCGAACGGAAACGAAACUAGCUUGCUAGUUGGCGUCGAGUGGCGGACGGGUGAGUAACGCGUAGGAAUCUACCUAGUAGUGGGGGAUAGCCCGAAGAAAUUCGGAUUAAUACCGCAUAAUCUAUUCGUAGUAAAGUGGGGGACUUUCGAGCCUCACGCUAUUAGAUGAGCCUGCGUAAGAUUAGCUUGUUGGUAGGGUAAAAGCCUACCAAGGCUACGAUCUUUAGCUGGUCUGAGAGGAUGAUCAGCCACAUCGGGACUGAGACACGGCCCGAACUCCUACGGGAGGCAGCAGUGGGGAAUAUUGGACAAUGGGGGCAACCCUGAUCCAGCAAUACCGCGUGUGUGAAGAAGGCCUGAGGGUUGUAAAGCACUUUCAAUUGGAAGAAAAGUUAACGGUUAAUAACCGUUAGCCUUGACGUUAACUUAGAAGAAGCACCGGCUAA
rnacentral:rRNA from 1 species